CUGGAGUGGUUUGUCAUUUCCUUCUCUAGCUCACUUUACAGAUAAGUAAACUGAGGCAAACAGAAUGCAGUGACUUGCCCUGGGUCUCAGAGUUGGCUAAGGCCAGAGUUGAACUCAGGAAGAUGAGUCUUUCUGACUCCAGGCCCAGUACUCCAUCCACUGUACAUCUAUCUACCUUUAGUCACUAUCUAAGGUGAAUGAGGAUCUGGAGCUGGAAUGAACAAUUUUGCACUUUUAAGAGGAUCAAAAAGAUCAGAAGAAGCUCUUCACCAUGGCAUCCCUAAACCACUGGCACAGCAUCUUACAGCAAUUAAAAGUCCUGAACCAUUUGUGAUCACACGUGAUUCCUGGAGCCUGAGAUGUCACAGGAAAUGUAGUUCUUAAUCAACCAGGUUAGCACUUAACCUUGUCUGAUUUCUGUCAUAUAACUUACAUACCAGUUAACUUAAUAACAUACCCAUCAGCUA
rnacentral:lncRNA from 1 species